rnacentral:rRNA from 1 species
UUACUGGGCGUAAAGCGCAUGCAGGUGGUUUGUUAAGUCAGAUGUGAAAGCCCGGGGCUCAACCUCGGAAUUGUCAUUUUGAAACUGGCAAACUAGAGUACUGUAGAGGGGGGUAGAAUUUUCAGGUGUAGCGGUGAAAAUGCGUAGAGAUCUGAAGGAAUACCGGUGGCGAAGGCGGCCCCCCUGGACAGAUACUGACACUCAGAUGCGAAAGCGUGGGGGAGCAAACAGGAUUAGAUACCCUGGUAG